GACGAACGCUGGCGGCGUGCUUAACACAUGCAAGUCGAACGGAAAGGCCCUGCUUUUGUUGGUUGCUCGAUUGGCGAACGGGUGAGUAACACGUGAGUAACCUGCCCUUGACUUUGGGAUAACUUCAGGAAACUGGGGCUAAUACCGGAUAGGAGCUCCUGCUGCACGGUGGGGAUUGGAAAGUUCCGGCGGUUGGGGCUGGACUCGCGGCUUAUCAGCUUGUUGGGGGGGUAGUGGCUUACCAAGGCUUUGAAGGGUAGCCGGCCUGAGAGGGGGAACGGCCACAAGGGUCCUGAGGGACGGCCCAGACUGCUACGGGAGGCAGCAGGGGGGAAUAUUGCAGAAUGGCGGGACGCCUGAUGCAGCGACCUUCGGUGCGGGAUGACCGGUUUCGGGUUGUAAACCGCUUUCGACUGUGAUGAAGCGGGAGUGACGGUACUGAGUAAAGAAGCACCGGCUAACUACGUG
rnacentral:rRNA from 1 species